rnacentral:rRNA from 1 species
AGAGUUUGAUCCUGGCUCAGGAUGAACGCUGGCGGCGUGCUUAACACAUGCAAGUCGAACGAACCUUCGGGUUAGUGGCGGACGGGUGAGUAACGCGUGAGAAUCUGCCCUCAGGAGGGGGAUAACGGUUGGAAACGACCGCUAAUACCCCAUAUGCCGAUAGGUGAAAUGAAUUUCGCCUGAGGAUGAGCUCGCGUCUGAUUAGCUUGUUGGUGAGGUAAUGGCUCACCAAGGCUUCGAUCAGUAGCUGGUCUGAGAGGAUGAUCAGCCACACUGGGACUGAGACACGGCCCAGACUCCUACGGGAGGCAGCAGUGGGGAAUUUUCCGCAAUGGGCGAAAGCCUGACGGAGCAACGCCGCGUGAGGGAUGAAGGCCUCUGGGCUGUAAACCUCUUUUCUCAAGGAAGAAGAUAUGACGGUACUUGAGGAAUAAGCCACGGCUAAUUCCGUGCCAGCAGCCGCGGUAAUACGGGAGUGGCAAGCGUUAUCCGGAAUUAUUGGGCGUAAAGCGUCCGCAGGCGGCUUAUCAAGUCUGCUGUUAAAAAGUGGAGCUUAACUCCAUCAUGGCAGUGGAAACUGAUAGGCUUGAGUAUGGUAGGGGCAGAGGGAAUUCCCGGUGUAGCGGUGAAAUGCGUAGAUAUCGGGAAGAACACCAGUGGCGAAGGCGCUCUGCUGGGCCAUUACUGACGCUCAUGGACGAAAGCCAGGGGAGCGAAAGGGAUUAGAUACCCCUGUAGUCCUGGCCGUAAACGAUGAACACUAGGUGUCGGGGGAAUCGACCCCUUCGGUGUCGUAGCUAACGCGUUAAGUGUUCCGCCUGGGGAGUACGCACGCAAGUGUGAAACUCAAAGGAAUUGACGGGGGCCCGCACAAGCGGUGGAGUAUGUGGUUUAAUUCGAUGCAACGCGAAGAACCUUACCAGGGUUUGACAUCCUGCGAACCUCUUAGAAAUUUGAGGGUGCCUUCGGGAAUGCAGUGACAGGUGGUGCAUGGCUGUCGUCAGCUCGUGUCGUGAGAUGUUGGGUUAAGUCCCGCAACGAGCGCAACCCACGUUUUUAGUUGCCAGCAUUUAGUUGGGCACUCUAGAAAGACCGCCGGUGAUAAACCGGAGGAAGGUGUGGAUGACGUCAAGUCAUCAUGCCCCUUACACCCUGGGCUACACACGUACUACAAUGCUACGGACAAAGGGCAGCAAACUCGCGAGAGCUAGCAAAUCCCAUAAACCGUGGCUCAGUUCAGAUCGUAGGCUGCAACUCGCCUACGUGAAGUAGGAAUCGCUAGUAAUCGCAGGUCAGCAUACUGCGGUGAAUACGUUCCCGGGCCUUGUACACACCGCCCGUCACACCAUGGAAGUUGGCCAUGCCCGAAGUCGUUACUCCAACCCUUGUGGAGGAGGACGCCGAAGGUGGGGCUAAUGACUGGGGUGAAGUCGUAACAAGGUAGCCGUACCGGAAGGUGCGGCUG